CCUACGGGAGGCUGCAGUGGGGAAUAUUGCACAAUGGGGGAAACCCUGAUGCAGCGACGCCGCGUGAGUGAUGAAGUUUCUCGGAACGUAAAGCUCUAUCAGCAGGGAAGAAAAUUACGGUACCUGAUCAACAAGCCCCGGCCAACUACGGCACAGCAGCCGCGGUAAUACGCAGGGGGCAAGCGUUAGGCGGAUUUACUGGGUGUAAAGGGAACGUAGACGGCGCGGCAAGUCAGGAGUGAAAGCCCAUGGCUUAACCAUGGUACUGCUCUGGAAACUGUGGAGCUGGAGUGCGGGAGGGGCAGGCGGAAUUCCUAGUGUAGCGGUGAAAUGCGUAGAUAUUAGGAGGAACAUCAGCGGCGAAGGCGGCCUGCUGGACCGUAACUGACGUUGAGGCUCGAAAGCGUGGGUAGCAAACAGGAUUAGAUACCCUUGUAGUC
rnacentral:rRNA from 1 species